AGGGUCGGCUAGACGGUCGCGACGCAAGUCGAGGAACGUCCGGGCUCCAAAGAGCAAGACGGUGGCUAACGGCCACCCGGGGCAACCCGCGAGAAAGUGCAACAGAGAGCAAACCGCCGCGGCAACGCGGUAAGGGUGAAACGGUGGGGUAAGAGCCCACCAGCGAGGCGUGUGAGCGCUUCGGCUAGGUAAACCUCGUCUGGAGCAAGAUCAGAUAGUGAACGCUAAGAGCUGCUCGCUCGAGUUCACGGGUAGAUCGCUUGAGGGUGUCGGUAACGGCACUCCUAGAUAGAUGACCGUCACCCGAAAGGGGACAGAACCCGGCGUAUCGGCCGGCCCUCCAG
rnacentral:RNase_P_RNA from 1 species